AUAAAAUGUAUAUUAAGGCAAGACUCCAAAACGUGAUUGGUAUCAAAGAGUGAAGCACGUGGUCUUACAUGUGCUUCAACCACACCAUUGCUGGGUGGUCAAGGGAAGUGAUUGUCCCGCUCUACCGUGCGCUGGUGCGGCCUCACCUCGAGUACCAUGUGCAGUCUGAGGUACCACAGUAUAAGGCCAUAAAACUAUUAGAGAUCCUCCAAAGCAGGGUGACAAAGUUGGUGAAGGGUCUAGAGGGGAAGACACAUGAGGAGCAGCUGAAGUAACUGGGAUUGUUCAGCCCAGAGAAGAGGAAACUGAGGGGAGGCCUCAUGGCGGCCUGCAGCUCCCUCACGAGGGGAGUGGAGGGGCAGGCACUGAGCUCUGGGGACAGUGACAGGACCCGAGGGAACGGCAUGGAGCUGGGACAGGGGGGGGUCAGGCUGGAUUUUUGGGUGCUCCUGUGUGGAGUCAGGAGUUGAACUCCAUGAUCCUUGUGGAUCCCUUCCAACUCAGGAUACUCCAUGAUUAUAAAUAAAAAAACAUUCUUCCAGUUUCACCAUGGACACAGACUUCUGACAACUGCUUGGAUAGAAGUGUUGGAGCCUGAGAAAUUGGCAUGUUUCAGGCGUUUGGACAUGCUUACCCUGAGUUUGUCCUGACCUACCUAGAGGAACUAAAUGAAAGAGGAGGUGACCCAGACAGAAAACCGCAUUCACCAUGGGGCCUGAUCUGCAGCUCAUCGGGAGAUAGACAGCAGCUCAGCAGAAGAGAUACCACAAAAAAAUGUCAGCAACCCCAAUCAGAAACAACUUUCAGGACCUUUGGACGCCCAUUUAAUGCCUGCAGAUCCCCUAGGGGAGACUACACAGCUGACAGUGGCACUGGUGAGGAAACUAGAAGAGAAACAUCCUAAGGCCUCAGCUUAAAGGCUUUAUUUUUGUCUGUUGCAAAUGAGAACACGAAAGGCUGCACGCAGAGAGGACUCGGCGAUCCAUCAUGGAUAUCUUGUUUCUGAUUUUGUAGUUCAGAGAAUCAAAUUCGGCAUAAAGGAUGAAGUCCAUGGAUCUAAUAAGUCAAUCUUAAUAUGCUGCCCCUAGUAAUCUAUUGUGCUCCUUUCAUUUCUAAAAAGUUGUAAGUUGAUAAGGACCAUACUGGGCAAACAGGAAACUUUCCAGACUGAGUUGUCCCAAAAACACUGCUAUUUUCUUUAGGUAGAUAGCACUCUGGAUUCAGGUGAGCUCCAGUACUGACAGAUGGCUACCAGGCAAGGUCCAGUUUUUGGGGAAGCUCUGAUCUGAACUUGUUUGUUUGAUGUCAAAGGGAGGAAUAAUCAGAUGGAAAGACUUCUCUUCCUACUUUUCUUAAAGAGCAGAGCUAUCAUUAAUAAGCUGUUUAAAUUUGGUGUUUGGUAAAGGACACUUGGAUGGUUUUCCUGCAAAGUAUAUAUUGUCUCUGGUCAACUUCUAAAAAAACAUUCCUGAUGUUGUAGAGACGCUCUAAUAAAUGCAGAGGAAAUCUGACUUGCCUGUGUACA
rnacentral:lncRNA from 1 species